GACAGAGGUGCGAACGUUGUUCGGAAUUACUGGGCGUAAAGCGCGUGUAGGCGGCAGCGUGUGUCGGGCGAGAAACUCCCACGGGCUCAACCGUGGAAGUGCACUCGAAACUGCGCAGCUAGAGUCCUGGAGAGGAAGGUGGAAUGCUUGGUGUAGAGGUGAAAUUCGUAGAUAUCAAGCGGAACACCGGUGGCGAAGGCGGCCUUCUGGACAGUGACGUGAACGCGUGAGACGGCGAAAAGCGUGGGGAGCAAACAGG
rnacentral:rRNA from 1 species